rnacentral:rRNA from 1 species
UAGGGAAUCUUCGGCAAUGGGGGGAACCCUGACCGAGCAACGCCGCGUGCGUGAAGAAGGUUUUCGGAUCGUAAAGCUCUGUUGUUAAGGAAGAACGAGUGUGAGAAUGGAAAGUUCAUACUGUGACGGUACUUAACCAGAAAGGGCCGGCUAACUACGUGCCAGCAGCCGCGGUAAUACGUAGGUCCCGAGCGUUGUCCGGAUUUAUUGGGCGUAAAGCGAGCGCAGGCGGUUAGAUAAGUCUGAAGUUAAAGGCAGUGGCUCAACCAUUGUAGGCUUUGGAAACUGUUUAACUUGAGUGCAGAAAGGGAGAGUGGAAUUCCAUGUGUAGCAGUGAAAUGCGUAGAUAUAUGGAGGAACACCGGUGGCGAAAGCGGCUCUCUGGUCUGUAACUGACGCUGAGGCUAGAAAGCGUGGGGAGCGAACAGG